rnacentral:misc_RNA from 1 species
GAUGAAGAACGUAGCGAAAUGCGAUAAGUAAUGUGAAUUGCAGAAUUCAGUGAAUCAUCGAAUCUUUGAACGCACCUUGCACUCCUUGGUAUUCCGAGGAGUACGCCUGUUCGAGUGUUAUGAAGCUCUCAAAACGCAAUUGGCUUAAAACCUGAUUGUUGUUUUGGAUUUGAACUUUGCCGUGUUAUAACGGCUGGUUUUAAAAGUAUUAGCUGGUACUAGAACGAAUUGGUUCUACUCAACGUGUUAAUUAUCUGAUCGUUGAGGACAUUCCUUUCACGAGGAAUGGCCAUAGUAAAUUCAAUGGACUGCUUCUAAUCUGGCUUUAAUUCUUUAUUGGAUUAACCACUUUUCAAAUCUGACCUCGAAUCAGGUGGGACUACCCGCUGAACUUAAGCAUAUCAAUAAGCGGAGGA